rnacentral:rRNA from 1 species
AGCGAACGCUGGCGGCAGGCUUAACACAUGCAAGUCGAGCGGGCAUCCUUGUGGUGUCAGCGGCAGACGGGUGAGUAACGCGUGGGAACGUGCCCUUCGUUUCGGAAUAACUCAUGGAAACUUGAGCUAAUACCGGAUACGUGCUAGAGCAGAAAGGGUUAUCUGCCUGAGGAUCGGCCCGCGUCUGAUUAGCUAGUUGUGGAGGUUACGGCUCACCAAGGCGACGAUCAGUAGCUGGUAUGAGAGGAUGAUCAGCCACACUGGGAGUGAGAAACAGCGCAGAAUACUACGGGAAGCAGCAGUGGGGAAUAUUGGACAAUGGCGGCAACCCUGAUCCCGCCAUGCCGCGUGAGUGAUGACGGCCUUAGGGUUGUAAAGCUCUUUUCUCCGGGACGAUAAUGACGGUACCGGAGGAAUAAGCCCCGGCUAACUUCGCG